rnacentral:tRNA from 1 species
UCCCUGGCAGUUCAGUGGCUAAGACUCUGUGUUCUCAACGCAAGGGACCCGGGUUCGAUCCCUGGUCAGGGAA